GAACUGGUUUCCUUGAGUACGCACAAAGUGGGCGGAAUUCGUGGUGUAGCGGUGAAAUGCUUAGAUAUCACGAAGAACUCCGAUUGCGAAGGCAGCUCACUGGAGCGCAACUGACGCUGAAGCUCGAAAGUGCGGGUAUCGAACAGGAUUAGAUACCCUGGUAGUCCGCACGGUAAACGAUGGAUGCCCGCUGUUGGUCUGAAUAGGUCAGCGGCCAAGCGAAAGCAUUAAGCAUCCCACCUGGGGAGUACGCCGGCAACGGUGAAACUCAAAGGAAUUGACGGGGGCCCGCACAAGCGGAGGAACAUGUGGUUUAAUUCGAUGAUACGCGAGGAACCUUACCCGGGCUUGAAUUGCAGAGGAAGGAUUUGGAGACAAUGACGCCCUUCGGGGCCUCUGUGAAGGUGCUGCAUGGUUGUCGUCAGCUCGUGCCGUGAGGUGUCGGCUUAAGUGCCAUAACGAGCGCAACCCCUCUCCUUAGUUGCCAUCAGUUGAAGCUGGGCACUCUGGGGACACUGCCACCGUAAGGUGUGAGGAAGGUGGGGAUGACGUCAAAUCAGCACGGCCCUUACGUCCGGGGCUACACACGUGUUACAAUGGCAGGUACAGAGAGACGGUCCCUUGCAAAAUGGAUCAAAUCCUUAAAGCCUGUCUCAGUUCGGACUGGGGUCUGCAACCCGACCCCACGAAGCUGGAUUCGCUAGUAAUCGCGCAUCAGCCAUGGCGCGGUGAAUACGUUCCCGGGCCUUGUACACACCGCCCGUCAAGCCAUGAAAGCCGGGGGCGCCUAAAGUCCGUGACCGUAAGGAGCGGCCUAGGGCGAAACUGGUAAUUGGGGCUAAGUCGUAACAAGGUAGCCGUACCGGAAGGUGCGGCUG
rnacentral:rRNA from 1 species